GACGAACGCUGGCGGCGUGCUUAACACAUGCAAGUCGAACGGAAAGGCCCUGCUUUUGUGGGGUGCUCGAGUGGCGAACGGGUGAGUAACACGUGAGUAACCUGCCCUUGACUUUGGGAUAACUUAAGGAAGCUGGGGCUAAUACCGGAUCGGAGCUCCUGUAGCAUGGUGGGGGUUGGAAAGUUUCGGCGGGUGGGGAUGGACUCGCGGCUUAUGAGCUUGUUGGUGGGGGAGUGGCUUACCAAGGCAUUGACGGGUAGCCGGCAUGAGAGGGUGACCGGCCACAUUGGGACUGAGAGACGGCCCAGACGCCUACAGGGGGCAGCAGUGGCGAAUAUUGCACAAUGGGCGGAAGCCUGAUGAAGCAGCGCCGCGUGCGGGAUGACGGCCUGCGGGUUGUAAACCGCUUUCGCCUGUGACGAAGCGUUAGUGACGGUAAUGGGUAAAUAAGCACCGGCUAACUACGUG
rnacentral:rRNA from 1 species